CGUCACCAUAGCUAACCGAGGAUCCGUGAGCCACCAGUUUUACAGUUUUCAGGCUGUCAUGUUCAUACAUUAAAUAAUCCAGAGCAUACAUGCUUCUCUGCGGUUGGUCGGGAUCUGAAGAAGGCGGUGUCGAAAUGCAAAGAUCCUGCAGGUGGUUCGGCUUGCAAAGGCACAUAUCAUCACCGACAGACCAAUCCAGCAAAUUUGUGUGAGGAGGAAGACUGAGGNNNNNNNNNNNNNNNNNNNNNNNNNNNNNNNNNNNNNNNNNNNNNNNNNNNNNNNNNNNNNNNNNNNNNNNNNNNNNNNNNNNNNNNNNNNNNNNNNNNNUACCAUGUCGAUAUUGUCUCCACUGGUCACACACCGAAUAAAGUUCAAGUCGUUGGUCCAUUUGAGGGAUGGCGUCGAAAACAAGCCUGAGCUUCCAGAGAUUAGGCAUUGCGUCCGCCUCAAAUCUUAGCCAGGCUAUUCCAAUCAUGAACCUCAGCUUCAAGUACUUGAGAGCUGUGAAUCCAGCACCCGUGCCAAAUAUUAUCUUAACAUUAGGUGACUUCUCCACAUACAACGACAGGGCAGUGAGGGCAGUCAACCCUCUAAGAAUAUCAACAUUAUGUACCGACAGUUCACUCAAUGCAAUCUUCAGAAUGCACAGGUUGCCAAGUUGGAUCCUCCACCUAUGCAUUUGGCAAAAUACGACGGGGCUGUGUGGUGAGACCUCAGAUCUCUGGAUAUGGUGGGUAGGUUUAUUUAAAAUCCAGCCAACUCUUGCUCUUGAAGCGUCACCAUAGCUAACCGAGGACCCGCAAGUCACCAGUUUUACAGUUUUCAGGCUGUCAUGUUCAUACAUUAAAUAACCCAGAGCAUACAUGCUUCUCUCCAGUUGGUCGGAAUCUGAAGAAGGCGGUGUCGAAAUGCAAAGAUCCUGCAGGUGGUUCGGCCUGCAAAGGCUCAUCUCAUCGUCGACAGACCAAUCCAGCAAAUUUGUGUCAGGAGGAAGACUGAGGNNNNNNNNNNNNNNNNNNNNNNNNNNNNNNNNNNNNNNNNNNNNNNNNNNNNNNNNNNNNNNNNNNNNNNNNNNNNNNNNNNNNNNNNNNNNNNNNNNNNAGUACGUAUACUACGUAGUAUAUAUAUAUAUAUAUAUAUAUAUAUAUAUAUAUAUAUAUAUACAUAUAAUAUAUUAUAAAACAAUUCACAGUUAUGCAAAUAUAGUAUCCCAGCGUCAGACAGAACACGAGUAUUGCAAGUGCAGUAAAAGCAGGAAAAACACGUUCAACCUUGCCUUAUUUCCUUAUUUCCGGUUGAUCGUUGUACAAACGACUUUAAGAAAAAUAAACAACUGGAAAGUAAAAUCAUGAUUUUACACUCUUAGAGCAGAUUAAUCUAAAUACCAAACUAGGAGUAAAUACAUUUUCAGAACAACUGACUGAAUAUCGAAGGGUCCAAAUUGUUUUUUAUUCAGAGUUUGAAAAAUCUUGAACAAAAAAUAGAGGGAAAGCUAGAGACUGCAUUGGAAGUAACUGAGAGUUCUGUUUUACUGUAAAGAUAAAGUUGGGUGAUGGAGAUGAAGAUCGUUAGAACACCAUAUGAAAACAUUAUUGGAACACAAAUUGCAACUGGAAAUAACAGCUAGUGACUAAAACUCGGAUGUUUCUGCAGGCACUUUCUCUGGAGCUCAUUCAUGUCUUCUCUUUUUGUAUGAUCAGCAGAGCGCUCCCAGGAAAUUCAGACUGAGAAUGAGGCACAGCCAGCACUGCAUGGAAAUAUGAAGAGAAACGCUGUGUCAUUGAAAUCAUGGAGCAAACUUGAUAAAGAAAAAUAAUAUACAAAGCGAGUACGUACAAGGUAAGUAACUUACUCAUAUCUUGCAUGCAUGCAUCCAACCUUUUAUUCAGUCGACCGACUCAGCAGCCCAUCACGGCGCACACAAUCCAACUUACUCAUAUAUUGUAUGCAUGCAUUCUUUAUUCAGUUGACCGACUCAGCAACCCAUCACUGCGCACACAAUCCGCUCGCCCCGGUAUGGCCGUGUGGCAAACAAAUCCCAGACAGGCGGUUCCCCAUCCGGGGUCCAUGAAUGAAGCUCAACCACCUUUUCAUCUGUUGAAUCGUUUGGACGCCCGAUAACAAUCAGCCGGUCACCACACGCUCGGAAACCCAUGUCCCAGCCAUCUUUGUCCUUAGACUGCACGGGCAAUUUUCCAAGAGUGGUCCACUUGUUGUCCAGCUUAUCAUACAGCUUCAAAUCAUUAUUCUCACUGUAAUCAGCAGCAUAAAGCUCGUUGUUCACAACCGCAAGGAGCGGAGGAGCUCCCGCGAAUGUCUCGUUGAGCCCCUGAGACAUGUUGUCGAUGACCCUCCAUGACCGCAGGUUCAAGUCAUACUCCUCACCGCAAGUCAACACCUGGUGGCUACUGGAAUAACCACCGAUGACAUAGAACUUGCCGUCCAUGAAGGCGCCAGAGCAUCCGUACCUGGCCCUAUUCAUGCUGGGAAGGGGUGUCCAAGUAUGUGUCUCCGAGUCAUACAUCUCUGCCGUGCUCAAUACAUUAGUACCAGAAGGAUCAAGGCCUCCCGCGACGUACGCCUUCUCACCUACACUGGCUGACCCAAACCAGGCCCGCGGGGUGUUGAUCGCAUCAGCAUCAGCAUCAGGCAGCCCUGUCCAUGAAUUGGUAAGGAUGCUAUAUCUCAAGGAAACCCCUGCGGACCCAAACACCAGCAGCUCGGUUCCUACAGCCAGUGACUCCCAGAAUCUGCUUUGAGCCGGUGGCAUCUUGGGCACUUUGAUCCAGCGCCCGGUGGACGGGUCAUAAGCAUCCCACUCCGGAGGAUUAUUAUUACCGCAGGAGAGGUAGAUCCAGUGCUCUGCCACCCCAUUCUUGCGACGAAGGCGGUAGAUGUCCCCGUCGCGAACCACCGAAUUGAAUUCACGGUUGAGGGAGGCGAUGGAGGCGCCGUAGUCCCGCCUGGACACAAGGUGGAGGCAACGGAUGAAGAGCUCCCGACCUAUCACAUCAAUGGUAUUGCUCCACGACACCACGGUCUGCUGCGCUCCACCUGACAAAAGCCAACAGCUCAUCCAUCGUCUUACUAAUUUCUACGAGUAAUUAAUAGCUAUUGGAACUCCUGUUGACUGAAUAGCAUACCUGGAGGAUUCAGGCGUGAACAGGACUCUGGUGACCUCGAUGAUACCCUGCAGGUUACAACUACCAUUUAGAGCAUGAGCAUGAAUAGUCAAAUCAGGUUUAAUCGAAUAACUCAACAUCAACAAAAGUAGUUUACAACAGCAACAAAAGUAGUACCUUUUAUCGCCAUGGGAACCGGAAUCCACUAAUUUCACCUCGAUUAUAGGAUUGCUCAGAUGAUUGCUAACAACACCGAUCCUCGCGACAUACUGCAGAUCAACAGCCGCACCCCCAAAUUUAGCGGAGACCUCUCUAAGGCCCGUCAUAUGCUCGAUGCUGAUUAGUGCAUUACCAUGUCGAUAUUGUCUCCACUGGUCACGCUUAGAAUAAAGUUCAAGUCGUUGGUCCAUUUGAGGGAUGGCGUCGAAAACAAGCCUGAGCUUCCAGAGAUUAGGCAUUGCGUCCGCCUCAAAUCUUAGCCAAGCUAUUCCACUCAUGAACCUCAGCUUCAAGUACUUGAGAGCUGUGAAUCCAGCAGCCGUGCCAAAGAUUAUCUUAACAUUAGGUGACUUGUCCACAUACAAUGACAGGGCAGUGAGGGCAGGAAACCCACUAAGAAUAUCAACGUCAUUUACUGACAGUCCAUCCACUGCAAUCUUCAGAAUGCAUAGGUUGCCAAGUUGGAUCUUCCACCUAUGCAUUUCGCAAAAUACGACGGGGCUGUGUGGUGAGACCUCGAAUCUCUGGAGAUGGUGGAUAGGUCUAUCCAAGACCCACAAAACUCUUGCUUCUGAAGCGUCACCAUAGCUAACCGAGGAUCCAUGAGCCACCAGUUUUACAGUUUUCAGGCUGUCAUGUUCAUACAUUAAAUAAUCCAGAACAUACAUGUUUCUCUUCAAAUGGUCGGAAUCUGAAGAAGGCGAUGUAGAAAUGCAAAGAUCCUGCAGGUGGCUCGGCUUGCAAAGGCACAUAUCAUCACCGACAGACCAAUCCAGCAAAUUUGUGUCAGGAGGAAGACUGAGGUGCAACAAGCGUGGGAGAUAUAUAAUGUCCCAUGGAACAUAAGUCCCCCUUGGUGUAUCCAUAACAUCAAGUGUUUCCAAACACUGCAGCCCU
rnacentral:lncRNA from 1 species